rnacentral:ncRNA from 1 species
UUACAUUUCAUAUUUAUAGUGCAUAAAUACUAAUUUUAUCUUGUUACAAGGCUUGUCGGUAUUAGCUUUUACCUUGCUUAAGUAGUAUUUGUGACCUGUGCAUAACUCUGUGAUUUUAUUAAUACGUAGUCCUUACUAACCCUGUAAUUCAAUUCAUAUAAUGCAUAUUAUGUUAAAUUAUAAAUAUAAAUGCGUAACAAAUUGUUUGUAACCGGAUUACCCUUCAAAUGUUCAUUAAAUGAUAUGUCUAUUCUCAAAAAAUGAGUUUUUG